UACGUAGGGGGCAAGCGUUGUCCGGAUUUAUUGGGCGUAAAGAGCGUGUAGGUGGCUUCACAGGUCCGCUGUGAAAACUCGAGGCUCAACCUCGAGCUGUCGGUGGAAACCGUGUGGCUAGAGUCCGGAAGAGGAGAGUGGAAUUCCCGGUGUAGCGGUGAAAUGCGCAGAUAUCGGGAAGAACACCCGUGGCGAAGGCGGCUCUCUGGGACGGUACUGACGCUGAGACGCGAAAGCGUGGGGAGCGAACAGG
rnacentral:rRNA from 1 species